UACGGGGGGGGCAAGCGUUGUUCGGAAUUACUGGGCGUAAAGGGCUCGUAGGCGGCCAACUAAGUCAGACGUGAAAUCCCUCGGCUUAACUGGGGAACUGCGUCUGAUACUGGAUGGCUCGAGUUUGGGAGAGGGAUGCGGAAUUCCAGGUGUAGCGGUGAAAUGCGUAGAUAUCUGGAGGAACACCGGUGGCGAAGGCGGCAUCCUGGACCAACACUGACGCUGAUGAGCGAAAGCCAGGGGAGCAAACGGG
rnacentral:rRNA from 1 species